rnacentral:lncRNA from 1 species
UUCUCUAUUUCUCAUUAUAGUUUUGACAUAUAUGAAUUGCAGCUUAUACAAGAUUUGACAUAAUUGUUUAUGGAGUAGCGUAUAUGUAUAACUAUAGGAUGGCUAAGCAAUAUGCAGCAGCAACAUGAACGCACCAUCAAAUAACAAACAAGGUUCAGCGAUUCCACAUCUACUGGGGCUUUAACUUCUGCAUUGGUGACUACUAUGGCUCUCACUUAUGACAUAUGGCAAAGCAUUCUGUAUUUUAUAUUCACUCCACCGAGGGAUUAACUCAUGAAUUAACCGUGCCAUCCAUGUUAUUGCAAAACUAUUGUCUUCAGCUACUUUUGCGUGUAGCCAUUUCCUAUUAUUUGUGAUUAAUAUCUGAUGCUGAUCUCUACGGAGCCUAUUAUAUACUUGCCGCAAAGCUUAUCUCCAUGCUACAAAUCAACUGCCAAGCCUAAGAAUGGUUCUUCAUUCUUAUCUCUUGCAGUGCACAUUGUUAUCAUAACUGCAUCCAAAUAAUCUCUGUGGUUCACCUUUUCUCUGGUUUAUAUGUUGCCCGAAAGAGAAUCUUGAAAGAGAUAUCAACCACAACUCUUAUUUGAGAAGACUUAUGUCGUUUUCUGUGAGCUCCCGUGGUUAG